rnacentral:rRNA from 1 species
GACGAACGCUGGCGGCGUGCUUAACACAUGCAAGUCGAACGGAAAGGCCCUGCUUUCGUGGGGUGCUCGAGUGGCGAUCGGGUGCGUAACACGUGAGUAACCUGCCCUUGACUUUGGGAUAACUUCAGGAAACUGGGGCUACUCCCGGAUCGCAGCUCCUGCUGCAUGGUGGGGGUUGGAACGUCUCGGCGGUUGUGGAUGGACUCGCGGCUUAUCAGCUAGUUGGUGGGGUAGUGGCUUACCAAGGCAUUGACGGGUAGCCGGCCUGUGUGGGUGACCGGCCUCAUGGGGACUGCGAUACGGCGCAGACUCGUACGGUAGGCAGCAGUGGGGAAUAUUGCACAAUGGGCGGAAGCCGGUGACAGCAGCGCCGCGGGCGUAAUGACGGCCUGCUGGGUGAAAACAGCAUCCGCCUGUUACGAAGCGUGAGUGACGGUAAUGGGUAAAGAAGCACCGGCUAACUACGUG